rnacentral:rRNA from 1 species
UAAGGAAUAUUGGACAAUGCCCGCAAGGGUGAUCCAGCCAUGCCGCGUGCAGGAAGACGGCCCUAUGGGUUGUAAACUGCUUUUACACCGGAGAAAACCUUCCCUUGCGAGGGGAGCUGAUAGUAUGGUGAGAAUAAGCAUCGGCUAACUUCGUGCCAGCAGCCGCGGUAAGACGAAGGAUGCAAGCGUUAUCCGGAUUCAUUGGGUUUAAAGGGAGCGUAGGUGGCCAAAUAAGUCAGUGGUGAAAUCCUGUUGCUUAACAACAGAAUUGCCAUUGAUACUGUAUGGCUUGAGUAUAGUUGCCGUUGGCGGAAUAUGACAUGUAGUGGUGAAAUACAUAGAGAUGUCAUAGAACACCGAUUGCGAAGGCAGCUGACGAAACUAUAACUGACACUGAGGCUCGAAAGUGCGGGGAUCAAACAGGAUUAGAUACCCCGGUAGUCC